rnacentral:rRNA from 1 species
AUGACGCCAACCGGAGCCACUGCCGCUCUCGUGCUAGCAGUACUCACCCUAGCACACCAUGCCUCACUCGCCGCCGCCGGCGGCCCCAGGGUCAUCAUCGUCGGCGCCGGCAUGUCAGGGAUCUCUGCGGGGAAGCGGCUGUCGGAGGCCGGGAUAACGGACCUGGUGAUCCUGGAGGCGACGGACCACGUCGGCGGGAGGAUGCACAAGCGGGACUUCGGCGGCAUCAGCGUGGAGAUGGGCGCCAACUGGGUGGAGGGCGUCAACGGCGGCAAGAUGAACCCCAUCUGGCCCAUCGUCAACUCCACGCUCAAGCUCACCAACUUCCGCUCCGACUUCGACGACCUUGCCAGCAACGUCUACAGGGAGAAAGGUGGUGUCUACAAAAAAGCGUACGUGCAGAAGAGAAUUGACCUGUCGGACAAGGUGCAAGAGGGCGGCGAGGAACACUCUGCCAAGCUGCAUCUCAGCGGCCAGGAUGACAUGUCAAUCCUCGCCAUGCAACGCCUCAACGACCACCUUCCCAACGGGCCGUCGGCGGCAGUGGACAUGAUCCUGGACUACUUCAAGUACGACUACGAGUUCGCCGAACCGCCACGCGUGACCAGCCUGCAAAACACCAUCCCUCUCGCCACCUUCAACGACUUCGGCGACGAUGUUUACUUCGUCGCCGACCAGCGCGGCUAUGAGGCCGUCGUCUACCACCUCGCUGGCCAGUACCUCAAGGCCGACAAGUCCGGUGGCAUCAUCGACCCCCGUCUGCAGCUCAACAAGGUGGUGCGAGAGAUCUCUUACUCCGGAAGCGGCGUAAGAGUGGAGACGGAGGACAACAAGGUGUAUAAGGCAGACUAUGUCAUGGUCUCAACGAGCUUGGGGGUCUUGCAAUCAGAUCUCAUAAAAUUUGAGCCACAACUUCCUACAUGGAAGGUUCUGUCGAUCUACCAAUUUGACAUGGCUGUGUACACCAAGAUCUUUGUCAAAUUCCCCAAGAAGUUCUGGCCCGAAGGCAAAGGCAGAGAGUUCUUCCUCUACGCGAGCAGCAGGAGAGGCUACUAUGGAGUAUGGCAGGAGUUUGAGGCGCAGUAUCCAGACGCCAAUGUCCUCUUGGUCACCGUCACCAACGAGGAGUCGAGGCGGAUCGAGCAGCAGUCAGACAACCAGACCAAGGCGGAGAUCAUGGAGGUGUUGAGGAGCAUGUUCCCCGAUGAGGAUGUCCCUGACGCGACAGACAUCCUCGUGCCACGGUGGUGGUCCGAUAGGUUCUACAUGGGCACCUUCUCCAACUGGCCCAUCGGCGUCAACCGCUACGAAUACGACCAGCUCAGGGCACCGGUCGGCAGGGUUUACUUCACCGGGGAGCACACCAACGAGCACUACAAUGGCCAUGUCCAUGGAGCUUAUCUUUCAGGUAUUGAUUCGGCGGACAUUCUAAUCAACUGUGCUCAGAAGAGUAUGUGCAAAUACCACGUCCAGGGCAAGUAUGACUAA